rnacentral:lncRNA from 1 species
UGGCUGAGCUCUGAAGGGUAUGUCAUGAACUCUGAGCAUGGUACUUAACCCCCUACCUCAGACUUGCACCCUAGUCUGAUUUCACUGCCUGAAUUCCAUGUUUUAGUUCCCAUUAAAUCACCUGUCACACUUACUUGCCAUUUUUUGUUUAAUUGUCUGGUUCCCUGCUAGACUGUAACCUCUGUGAGGGCAGCGAUUGCAUCUGCUUUAUUCACUGCUAUAUCCUUAAUACCUAGCAUGGUGUUUGGCGCACUGAAGGAGUUCAGUAAAAAAAAAAAUAAUGAUAAUGAGUAGAAAUGGUAUUUCUAAAGAAUAUCUGCAAUCAUAACCAUGCAUUAAGGUGAAUUUUCUUAUGGUUGGACUAGUCCAUCUUUUUCUUUCUUUUAUUUUUUUAAGUCCAUUGUUUUAGAAAUAGGAAAGAAAAUUUUCUUUUAGUCUGCUUUCCAGCUUUUGGAUUCUUAUGUUAUCAUUGCUUUGCCAUAAUGCUAGUUUUCAAUUAGUGCUGAUUUCUUCUUUAGAUUCAACUAACAUCCAACUGCAAUGUGCUGGACGGCUCCAUGAAGUCUUUCAUAUAUGUUUGCUAAUUUAAAUUGAGAUAACUUUUUUUUGAGGGUUUCGGCCUCAGCUGUACAACCAAGACACCUGACUGACUUGCACAAGAUCAGACUUUGCGGUUUAGUCAUGUUUGUAGUCUUGGUGACACUGGAAAACAACACAGCUGACUCACGCCCUCGCAGGAGCUGUUAUUACCUAAACUUAGGUACAGGAUACAGCGGUGCAAACCACACCCAAGAGGCAUCCCAUCUCUAUAAAGUGGACUGCUACUGGAGGUUCACAGAGGCUCCCUAACUAGACGGAUCCUUUUCCAAGAUGAUCUACGUCCUUUUUUUCCCCCACCCCCUGACCCCAGUACAAGUACCCUGUGUAGAUUCAUGUAAUUAAUCUGUAAAUGUUAUUGUUUAAUGUAUUAUUGACUAAUACUCUGUAAAUGUCAAUGAACAUUUAUUCUACAGUACAUUGCUAAAUAGUUUUUGUAACUGUGGUUUUUGAGCCCAGCCAGUACCGUGCUUUUGUAAUUGUGUGUCAGAAUUUUUUUUUUUUUUUCCUGGGAAGCUGGAACUGAAUCAUUUUCAGGACUUACAUAGAACCUAGUCUGUCAUCUUUAGUCCAAGAUUAAACAAACCAUGUAUACUCUUGUGGCCUAUGUGAUACAAAGUAUGAAAGAGUUAUCAAAACACCCCCUGAGUGGCUCACUGCAGCCCAGGAAUGUUUACC